GGGGUUGACUGGAUUUGACAGCGGGUUGAGAUGGUACGUAAGCACGCGGAGGCUUCUUGGUUCCCUCCAUAAUCUGAGCUGAGGAAAAAUUAAUUGGCGAAACAAAGUACGCUCUCGCUGCUUAAUCGAAGUAUAGUAGAUUGCUAGCUUAAUUUCUCUGCAAGGCGGAGAAACGAGACGUCGCUCCAAGGAUGUUGUUCCGAAUCUGAGGAUCAAGCGGCGCAGGUUAAAUCGGAAAUAGUCUGUAUGGGCUCCGACAUGCGGAUGAAAUUUAGGAGCUAAGGUGUCGAUUGGUGGUCCAGGUCUUGUCGGCACUCGAAAACCGAAGGCUGGAAUAAGCGUGUAGAAAGCGUAUGGUUUCCCUGUUUGGACGAGGGUUCGACUCCCUCCAGCUCCAC
rnacentral:tmRNA from 1 species